rnacentral:rRNA from 1 species
GUUGCCUGUGAAACGAAUCUAAGUUCCCCUUGAUUUCUCUCCACGGACCUCCCACCUAACCCCACAUAGUAAAUCAAGAGCAAUUUAAAGGAGGUACAACUCCUUUAAAAAAGGACACAACCUCACAUAGCGGAUAACCCCAACCCCCCUUCCCCGUAGGCCUUCAAGCAGCCACCAACAAAGAGUGCGUCAAAGCUCUCCACCCAAAAAAUCUGAAAACAGCAUGACUCCCUCCUCACUAACAGGCCAACCUAUUACAAUAGGAGAACCAAUACUAGAAUGAGUAACUAGGGGUACCCCUCUCAAGCGCAAACUUACAUCCUCACAUUAUUAACAGCCCCAACUAAUGUACUACACCAACAAGCCAACACAUUAAACCCACUCUGUUAAUCCAACUCAGGAGCGCUCAUUAAGAGGACUAAAACCUGCAAAAGGAACUAGGCAAACCCAAGACCCGACUGUUUACCAAAAACAUAGCCUUCAGCAAACCAAGUAUUGAAGGUGAUGCCUGCCCAGUGACUCUAGUUAAACGGCCGCGGUAUCCUA